rnacentral:rRNA from 1 species
CCUACGGGAGGCAGCAGUGAGGAAUAUUGGUCAAUGGACGAGAGUCUGAACCAGCCAAGUAGCGUGAAGGAUGACUGCCCUAUGGGUUGUAAACUUCUUUUAUAUGGGAAUAAAACGUUCCACGUGUGGGAUUUUGUAUGUACCAUAUGAAUAAGGAUCGGCUAACUCCGUGCCAGCAGCCGCGGUAAUACGGAGGAUCCGAGCGUUAUCCGGAUUUAUUGGGUUUAAAGGAAGCGUAGGUGGAUUGUUAAGUCAGUUGUGAAAGUUUGCGGCUCAACCGUAAAAUUGCAGUUGAAACUGGCAGUCUUGAGUACAGUAGAGGUGGGCGGAAUUCGUGGUGUAGCGGUGAAAUGCUUAGAUAUCACGAAGAAAUCCGAUUGCGAAGGCAGUUCACUGGACUGCAACUGACACUGAGGCUCGAAAGUGUGGGUAUCAAACAGGAUUAGAUACCCCUGUAGUC